CCUACGGGAGGCAGCAGUGAGGAAUAUUGGUCAAUGGACGAAAGUCUGAACCAGCCAAGUAGCGUGAAGGAUGACUGCCCUAUGGGUUGUAAACUUCUUUUAUGUGGGAAUAAACUGAUCCACGUGUGGGUUUUUGUAUGUAUCAUAUGAAUAAGGAUCGGCUAACUCCGUGCCCGCAGCCGCGGUACUACGGAGGAUCCGAGCGUUAUCCGGAUUGAUUGGGUUUAAAGGGAGCGUAGGUGGGUUGUUAAGUCAGUUGUGAAAGUCUGCGGCUCAACCGUAGAAUUGCAGUUGAGACUGGCAGUCUAGAGAGCAGGUGAGGUAGGCGGAAUUCAUGGUGUAGCGGUGAAAUGCUUAGAUAUCACGAAGAACUCCGAUUGCGAAGGCAGCUCACUGGACUGCAACUGACGCUGAGGCUCGAAAGUGUGGGUAUCAAACAGGAUUAGAUACCCUAGUAGUC
rnacentral:rRNA from 1 species